AGAGUUUGAUCAUGGCUCAGGAUGAACGCUAGCUACAGGCUUAACACAUGCAAGUCGAGGGGAAACGACAUCGAAAGCUUGCUUUUGAUGGGCGUCGACCGGCGCACGGGUGAGUAACGCGUAUCCAACCUGCCCACCACUUGGGGAUAACCUUGCGAAAGUAAGACUAAUACCCAAUGACGUCUCUAGAAGACAUCUGAAGGAGAUUAAAGAUUUAUCGGUGAUGGAUGGGGAUGCGUCUGAUUAGCUUGUUGGCGGGGUAACGCCACCAAGGCGACGAUCGAGUAGGGGUUCUGAGAGGAACGGUCCCCCANAUUGGAACUGAGACCACGGUCCAAACUCCGUACGGGAGGCA
rnacentral:rRNA from 1 species